rnacentral:rRNA from 1 species
CCUACGGGAGGCAGCAGUGAGGAAUAUUGGUCAAUGGACGAGAGUCUGAACCAGCCAAGUAGCGUGAAGGAUGACUGCCCUAUGGGUUGUAAACUUCUUUUAUAUGGGAAUAAAACGUUCCACGUGUGGGAUUUUGUAUGUACCAUAUGAAUAAGGAUCGGCUCACUCCGUGCCAGCAGCCGCGGUAAUACGGAGGAUCCGAGCGUUAUCCGGAUUUAUUGGGUUUAAAGGGAGCGUAGGUGGAUUGUUAAGUCAGUUGUGAAAGUUUGCGGCUCAACCGUAAAAUUGCAGUUGAAACUGGCAGUCUUGAGUACAGUAGAGGUGGGCGGAAUUCGUGGUGUAGCGGUGAAAUGCUUAGAUAUAACGAAGAACUCCGAUUGCGAAGGCAGUUCACUGGACUGCAACUGACACUGAGGCUCGAAAGUGUGGGUAUCAAACAGGAUUAGAUACCCCGGUAGUC